rnacentral:rRNA from 1 species
UGGAUUAGUGGCGAACGGGUGAGUAACACGUGAGUAACCUGCCCUUGACUCUGGGAUAAGCGUUGGAAACGACGUCUAAUACCGGAUAUGACCUGUGACGGCAUCGUCUGCAGGUGGAAAGAAUUUUGGUCAAGGAUGGACUCGCGGCCUAUCAGGUAGUUGGUGAGGUAACGGCUCACCAAGCCGACGACGGGUAGCCGGCCUGAGAGGGUGACCGGCCACACUGGGACUGAGACACGGCCCAGACUCCUACGGGAGGCAGCAGUGGGGAAUAUUGCACAAUGGGCGAAAGCCUGAUGCAGCAACGCCGCGUGAGGGACGACGGCCUUCGGGUUGUAAACCUCUUUUAGUUGGGAAGAAGGGAGCUUGCUCUUGACGGUACCAGCAGAAAAAGCACCGGCUAACUACGUGCC